rnacentral:rRNA from 1 species
GCCUACGGGUGGCUGCAGUAGGGAAUAUUGGACAAUGGGUGCGAGCCUGAUCCAGCCAUGCCGCGUGCAGGAAGAAAGCCUUCUGGGUUGUAAACUGCUUUUCUCUGGGGAUAAAAGGCCCAUGCGUGGGACAUUGAAGGUACCAGAGGAAUAAGCCACGGCUAACUACGUGCCAGCAGCCGCGGUAAUACGUAGGUGGCAAGCGUUGUCCGGAUUUAUUGGGUUUAAAGGGUGCGUAGGCGGCUUUGUAAGUCAGUUGUGAAAUACGGCAGCUCAACUGUCGAGGUGCAAUUGAUACUGCAAAGCUUGAGUACUGAUGAGGUAGGCGGAAUGGACGGUGUAGCGGUGAAAUGCUUAGAGAUCGUCCAGAACACCGAUAGCGAAGGCAGCUUACUAAGGAGUAACUGACGCUGAGGCACGAAAGUGUGGGGAUCAAACAGGAUUAGAUACCCUAGUAGUC